rnacentral:rRNA from 1 species
GAUGAACGCUGGCGGCGUGCCUAAUACAUGCAAGUCGAGCGAACAGACGAGGAGCUUGCUCCUCUGACAUUAGCGGCGGACGGGUGAGUAACACGUGGAUAACCUACCUAUAAGACUGGGAUAACUUCGGGAAACCGGAGCUAAUACCGGAUAAUAUAUUUAACCGCAUGGUUCAAUAGUGAAAGACGGUUUUGCUGUCACUUAUCGAUGGAUCCGCGCCGCAUUAGCUAGUUGGUAAGGUAACGGCUUACCAAGGCAACGAUGCGUAGCCGACCUGAGAGGGUGAUCGGCCACACUGGAACUGAGACACGGUCCAGACUCCUACGGGAGGCAGCAGUAGGGAAUCUUCCGCAAUGGGCGAAAGCCUGACGGAGCAACGCCGCGUGAGUGAUGAAGGUCUUCGGAUCGUAAAACUCUGUUAUUAGGGAAGAACAAAUGUGUAAGUAACUAUGCACGUCUUGACGGUACCUAAUCAGAAAGCCACGGCUAACUACGUG